rnacentral:lncRNA from 1 species
AGUGCCCCGCCCAGCAUACAGUAUAAAUACAGUGCUCAGCCUUGCCAUCUCCCACAGAGCGUGCCAGACCAGAAACAACUCCGCUCCAGAGAGAGUAAAGACGCAAAGAUGAAGGUGUCAUAUGUGGCCGCUUUCCUCAUCGGGCUCCUCUCCCUGGAGAGCACCAGAGCGGCUCCGUUGUUGUGGUCUGUGGGCUCUGGUAGCGUAAAGACCGGUGACGUGGGCCACGGCAGCUUUAACGACAACAGCAAAAACAACAAAUUCUGGUCAGUGGGCUCUGGGAGCGUAAACACCGGUGACGUGGGCCACGGCAGCUUUAACGACAACAGCAAAAACAACCAAUUCUGGUCAGUGGACUCUGGUAGCGUAAACACCGGUAACGUGGGCCACGGCAGCUUUAACGACAACAGUAUAAACAACAAAUUCUUGCCAGUGAAAAACAACAAAUUCUGGUCAGUGGGCUCUGGUAGCGUAAACACUGGAGACGUGGGCCACGGCAGCUUUAACGACAACAGUAUAAACAACAAAAUCUUGCCAGUGAAAAAGAACAAAUUCUGGUCAGUGGGCUCUGGGAGCGUAAACACCGGUGACGUGGGCCACGGCAGCUUUAACGACAACAGCAAAAACAACAAAUUCUGGUCAGUGGACUCUGGUAGCGUAAACACCGGUGACGUAGGCCAUGGCAGCUUUAACGACAACAGCAAAAACAACAAAUUAUGCUUAGUGGGCUCCGGAAGCAAAAAGACCGGCAAAGUGGUCGACAGCAGCUUUGACAACAAAAGCGUAAGUAGUAGAGAUUAUCUCUCCAUGCUAUGUAGCUUCACACACAUCUGUGAACAGACCGUGUUUCAGCUAGUUUGAUGUCUCGUAACCUUUGCCUGCGAGGAACACUGGCUGCAUUUGCCCAUGUUGUAAAUGCAGCAUGGAGAGUCCUCCCACUCCACAGGCUCCUCCCCACAGCUCCCAUUGAACGGUUUCCAGACAAUGGGAGUGCCGAUCUGUUGCUUAUAGUGGGGGCAUAGCUUCAUGGCCCCUCUUCCUAGAAGCUGGACCUGCUGCUGGCUGCUUCCGGGGCGCAACGCGGUGUCAGAAC